rnacentral:tRNA from 1 species
GGAGAGGUGUCCGAGCGGCCGAAGGAGCACGACUGGAAAUCGUGUUUUCACCGAGAGGUGAAACGCGGGUUCAAAUCCCGCCCUCUCCG